UACGUAGGGGGCAAGCGUUGUCCGGAUUUACUGGGCGUAAAGCGCGCGUAGGCGGAACGAUCAGUCCGGUCUGAAAGCCCCCGGCUCAACCGGGGAGGGUGGCUGGAAACUGUCGUUCUUGAGGGCGAGAGAGGAGGGUGGAAUUCCCGGUGUAGCGGUGAAAUGCGCAGAUAUCGGGAGGAACACCGGUGGCGAAGGCGGUUCUCUGGGCCGAUACUGACGCUGAGGAGCGAAAGCGUGGGGAGCGAACAGG
rnacentral:rRNA from 1 species